GACGAACGCUGGCGGCGUGCUUAACACAUGCAAGUCGAACGGAAAGGCCCUGCUCUUGCGGGGUGCUCGCGUGGCGAACGGGUGUGUAACACGUGAGUAACCUGCCCUUGACUUUGGGAUAACUUCAGGAAACUGGGGCUAAUACCGGAUAGGAGCUCCUGCGGCAUGGUGGGGGUUGGAAAGUUUCGGCGGUCGGGGAUGGACUCGCGGCUUAUCAGCUUGAUGGUGGGGUAGUGGCUCACCAAGGCUGUGACGGGUAGCCGGCCUGAGAAGUGGGACGGGGACAAGAGGCCUGAGAGAGGGAGCAGUGGGGAACGGGAGACAAUGGGCGGGAGUAUGACACAGUGGUCGCGCGCGUGAGACGACGGCCCCGCGGGCGUAAAGACGUUCUGCGAGGGAAGAACAGCUUCCGGCUGAGACGAGGGGUUAGUGACGGUAAUUGAUGAAGAAGCACCGGCUAACUACGUG
rnacentral:rRNA from 1 species